CCCUUAGAUGUUCUGGGCCGCACGCGUGCUACACUGAGUGGAUCAGCGGGUCAGGUUGCGCGAAAGUGUUUCCUAAUCUUUAAAUCCGCUCGUGAUGGGGAUUGACGGUUGCAAUUUUCCGUCAUGAACGAGGAAUACCUUGUAAGCGCGGGUCAUCAUCCCGCGCUGAAUACGUCUCUGCCCUUUGUACACACCGCCCGUCGCUCCUACCGAUUGAGUGGUCCGGUGAGGCUUUGGGAUCUGAGCGGAAAGAGCGUUUCGCUGUUUCUGCCCGGAAAACUCAGUCGAACCUUAUCAUUUAGAGGAAGGAGAAGUCGUAACA
rnacentral:rRNA from 1 species